ensembl:lncRNA novel transcript
UGAACUCUGCUGGCCUUUCAUUUGGUGGAGGAGCCGGAAAGUACCUUGCCGAAUGGAUGGUACAUGGUUAUCCCUCAGAAAACGUUUGGGAAUUGGACCUGAAACGUUUUGGAGCCCUCCAGAGCAGCCGCACCUUUCUGCGCCACCGGGUCAUGGAAGUCAUGCCUUUGAUGUAUGAUCUGAAGGUUCCCCACUGGGACUUCCAGACCGGUAGGCAGUUACGCACCUCUCCUCUCUACGACCGGCUGGAUGCACAGGGAGCCAGGUGGAUGGAGAAACAUGGAUUUGAGAGGCCAAAGUACUUUGUUCCCCCUGACAAGGGCUAGAAUGUGUUCACAGAAGAAAAAGAACCACGUGGACUACACUAAACUCUACAGGGCCUUGUGAUUUUUCCAUUCCGUAGACCUCCUGGCAUUGGAGCAGAGCAAGACUUUCUAUAAGCCAGAUUGGUUUGACAUCGUGGAGUCUGAAGUCAAGUGCUGUAAGGAAGCUGUGUGUGUCAUUGACAUGUCCUCUUUCACAGAGUUUGAGAUAACAACCACUGGGGAUCAGGCAUUAGAAGUUCUACAGUACCUCUUCUCCAAUGACCUGGAUGUGCCUGUGGGCCACAUUGUGCAUACUGGCAUGCUCAACGAGGGUGGAGGGUAUGAAAAUGACUGCAGCAUAGCACGACUGAACAAGCGCAGUUUCUUCAUGAUCUCUCCAACCGACCAGCAGGUCCACUGUUGGGCCUGGCUUAAGAAACACAUGCCGAAAGACAGCAACCUGCUCCUGGAGGACGUCACCUGGAAGUACACAGCCCUCAAUCUGAUUGGCCCUCGAGCUGUGGAUGUGCUGUCUGAGUUGUCCUAUGCCCCUAUGACUCCAGACCACUUCCCAAGCCUCUUUUGCAAG